rnacentral:rRNA from 1 species
UUCCGUAGGGUGAACCUGCGGAGGGAUCAUUACCGAGUUUACAACUCCCAAACCCCUGUGAACAUACCUAUACGUUGCCUCGGCGGAUCAGCCCGCGCCCCGUAAAACGGGACGGCCCGCCCGAGGACCCUAAACUCUGUUUUUAGUGGAACUUCUGAGUAAAACAAACAAAUAAAUCAAAACUUUCAACAACGGAUCUCUUGGUUCUGGCAUCGAUGAAGAACGCAGCAAAAUGCGAUAAGUAAUGUGAAUUGCAGAAUUCAGUGAAUCAUCGAAUCUUUGAACGCACAUUGCGCCCGCCAGUAUUCUGGCGGGCAUGCCUGUUCGAGCGUCAUUUCAACCCUCAAGCUCAGCUUGGUGUUGGGACUCGCGGUAACCCGCGUUCCCCAAAUCGAUUGGCGGUCACGUCGAGCUUCCAUAGCGUAGUAAUCAUACACCUCGUUACUGGUAAUCGUCGCGGCCACGCCGUAAAACCCCAACUUCUGAAUGUUGACCUCGGAUCAGGUAGGAAUACCCGCUGAACUUAAGCAUAUCAAUAAGCGGAGGAA